rnacentral:rRNA from 1 species
UGGGGAAUAUUGCGCAAUGGGCGAAAGCCUGACGCAGCGACGCCGCGUGAGGGAUGAAGGUUUUCGGAUCGUAAACCUCUGUCAGAAGGGAAGAAACCGCACUGUGCUAAUCAGCAGUGCCUUGACGGUACCUUCAAAAGAAGCACCGGCUAACUCCGUGCCAGCAGCCGCGGUAAUACGGAGGGUGCAAGCGUUAAUCGGAAUUACUGGGCGUAAAGCGCACGUAGGCUGCUUUGUAAGUCAGGGGUGAAAUCCCACGGCUCAACCGUGGAACUGCCUUUGAUACUGCUUAGCUUGAAUCCGGGAGAGGGUGGCGGAAUUCCAGGUGUAGGAGUGAAAUCCGUAGAUAUCUGGAGGAACAUCAGUGGCGAAGGCGGCCACCUGGACCGGUAUUGACGCUGAGGUGCGAAAGCGUGGGGAGCAAACAGG